UACGUAGGGUGCGAGCGUUAAUCGGAAUUACUGGGCGUAAAGCGUGCGCAGGCGGCGCGUUAAGACAGGUGUGAAAGCCCCGAGCUUAACUUGGGAAUUGCGCUUGUGACUGGCGUGCUGGAGUGUGGCAGAGGGAGGUGGAAUUCCACGUGUAGCAGUGAAAUGCGUAGAUAUGCGGAGGAACACCGAUGGCGAAGGCAAUCCCCUGGGCCAAUACUGACGCUCAUGCACGAAAGCGUGGGGAGCAAACAGG
rnacentral:rRNA from 1 species